rnacentral:lncRNA from 1 species
UGAUGAUUAAGGUGGGCCCUAAUCCAAUCUGACUGGUGUCCUCGUAAGAAGAGAAGAUGAGGACACAGACAAACACAGAGGGAAGACUGUGUGAGGGCACAGGGAGAAAAUGACUCUCUACAACAAGGAGAGAGGCUUCAGAAUAAACCAAUUCUGCUGACACCUCUCAAACUUCUAGCCUCCAGAAGAGUGAGGAAAUCCAUUUCUGUUGUAUAAGCCACCCAGUUUGUGGUGUUUAUUAUGGCGGCCCUAGCAAGGGAAUACAGAGGGAGACAGGUUCAGACAUGUAAAGCGAGCCUUUAAAAGACACCACGUGCACCAGUGGAGCCCCAGGCCAAGAUGACAAAUGUUAUCAACAAUAUCCAACCAGAGUAUAUUUUCAUCCCUUUUCAUCCCGUCACGAUAAGCCAGAAGUAUUUUCAUCAGCCAGAUGAUCGCAGUGCUCAGAAGUUGCUAAUUUUUUGUAUUUUUAGUAGAGACAGGGUUUCACUAUGUUGGCCAGGCUGGUCUCGAACUCCUGACCUCAUGAUCCGCCCGCCUCAGCCACGUAAAGUGCUGGGAUUACAGGUGUGAGCCACCAUGCCCGGCUGAAAGGAGAUUCUUAAAUACACAAAAUCCUUCACUCCAAGGGUUUAGAUUUUUUGCUCAGUUUUAGCUGCAGACUUUGCUCAGUUUAGAGCUACUAGGGCUUUAGUUUACUGUGGAGACCUUGGGCAAAUUACCUAAUCUUUCACCCUUGGUUUUCUCAUAUGAUGACAGUGCCUUUCUGAUGGAGCCGUUAUGAAGGUAAACAUUAGGUUCCAACGCAUGGGAACUACAGUUGUGUUAAAAUGAGAAUUUCCCAGGAGUUCGUGUGUUUCAUUGUGAGGUGCUAUUCAGCUCUGUCUAUUUCCCUCACAUCUGUCCUUUCUCUUUCUCAUCCCCCACUCACUUAGUAAACAUGUCUGCUUGGACCAAUGAUUGGGAGUAUGGCGUGCUGAGCCCUGGUAACGGGAAGUAAGCCAGCAUUUUCAACAAGUUGCUAAUUAUACCACUUUUAAACACAAUAAGAGAAGAAGGAAUGAACCCCAUGAGCUGGGGCCACUUGGCAAGUCCCGAUGGUCUUCUUAGGCCAGUCAGGAUGUUUCUUAGACUCACAUCAGCCUUGAUGACGAUCUCCUCCCACAUCGACUGAGUCAGGGGUCGCUGUGUGCUGAGUAAUGCAGUCCUUUGCUGGGCGGGAAGUGGGCAGCACUCUGAAGGGACAUGAGAGUGGAUGACGGUGAAGCUGUGGGAAACUGCGGGGGAGCUGCACACGCCUGAUGCCUGUGUCUUAAUAGUUUACAUGGUAAGCCAAUAAGAUCAAUGUCCUUUUGGAAAAACAAGGCUAAUAUUCUAGUCUGGGAUGCACUAAGCCGGAAAAGCAUGAGUUACAAGUAAGUUUAACACAUUAAAAAGCAUCUUGGGGAGAAUUCUUGAAUUUACACAACUAAGUAUAUAUAACAGAGUCUUUACAUCUAAACCCCAUUUUAUCAGGCCAGGCCAUUUGUCAGCACAUCUCUUCUUAGUUACCCCCAAGGCAUCCAUACUUUACAGCAAGGAGUGAUGGCAACAGCUGGGGGCGGGAACUUCAAAGAAGUACCAGACCCGUAGGCCCCAUGUGGUGG